rnacentral:rRNA from 1 species
UACGGAGGGGGCUAGCGUUGUUCGGAAUUACUGGGCGUAAAGCGCACGUAGGCGGCUUUGUAAGUUAGAGGUGAAAGCCCAGGGCUCAACCCUGGAAUUGCCUUUAAGACUGCAUCGCUUGAACAUCGGAGAGGUAAGUGGAAUUCCGAGUGUAGAGGUGAAAUUCGUAGAUAUUCGGAAGAACACCAGUGGCGAAGGCAGGUCUCUGGGCUGAUACUGACGCUCAUGCACGAAAGCGUGGGGAGCAAACAGG